rnacentral:rRNA from 1 species
GCUUACGGCCACACCUCCCUGAGCACGCCCGAUCUCGUCUGAUCUCGGAAGCUAAGCAGGGUCGGGCCGGUAGUACUGGAUGGGAGACGCCUUGGAAAUACCAGGUGCUGUAAGCC